AGGCCAAUCGAUUCUUGCUCAUGCCAUGGUCUUUGUCUCACUCCUCUAUAGUGUCUUCUUCUCAUAUUCCCUUGAUCAGUGUUAUUUGUAGUCUGAGAAGUGCAAUGUUCGAUCCUAGCAGACCCCAUAUUUUCUUGAACAUGUUCAUCCAGCCUGUGAUUACUGGCCAUGGCAUGAGCAAGAAUCGAUUGGCCUUGAUCAUGAAGAGAUGGUUGGUGGUGAGUAUACAAGAUUUGAUCUUGCUUUCCCUCAUCAGAACCAGGAAAUGGCCUCUUUCUAUGCAUGCUUCGGAUCCACCUUGUUAAACUCUUUAAUUUCUUGCUUCUUUUCAAGGGUUUGGGUUUCUAUAUUGCAUGAUGAAGCUAAAGUAUUUGCUUCUAUCUAUACGUAUUAGAAAAAAGGCAGAUCUGGGUUUUGAUCUAGAUGAUGAUAAAGAUCGAAUAAAGCCAAAAGAGAUAUCAAGAAAAGAAGGAUAUGGUGAUAAAUUGUAAGAUAAAAAGAGAUUGAACAGCAAGAAGAAAGAAGAAGGGAAGGGUAGAGACGAAAAGAAGGUAUUCCUUGUAGGGUUUUGAUUGCCGAUGCAAAGUUGAAGUCACUGUUAUUUGUCCCUUGAUCCUGUCGAUUCCUGAUGAGAUG
rnacentral:misc_RNA from 1 species